CACGAAUGGCGUAACGACUUCCCCGCUGUCUCCAACAUAGGCUCAGCGAAAUUGAAUUCCCCGUGAAGAUGCGGGGUACCCGCGGUCAGACGGAAAGACCCCGUGCACCUUUACUACAGCUUUGCAGUGGCAUCAGAAUGUUAAUGUGUAGGAUAGGCGGGAGGCUUUGAAGCGAGGGCGCCAGUUCUCGUGGAGCCACCCUUGAAAUACCGCCCUUUGACGUUUUGAUGUCUAACCGCGGCCCGUUAUCCGGGUCCGGGACCCUGCAUGGCGGGUAGUUUGACUGGGGCGGUCGCCUCCCAAAUGGUAACGGAGGCGCACGAUGGUAGGCUCAAGCUGGUCGGACAUCAGCUGUUGAGUGCAAUGGCAUAAGCCUGCCUGACUGCGAGGC
rnacentral:rRNA from 15 species